rfam:Camelus ferus unplaced genomic scaffold scaffold739, whole genome shotgun sequence.
GAGGGUAUAGCUCAGUGGUAGAGCACAUGCUUAGCAUGCACAAGGUCCUGGGUUCAAUCUGCAGUACCUCCU